rnacentral:rRNA from 1 species
UACGGGGGGGGCAAGCGUUGUUCGGAAUUACUGGGCGUAAAGGGCUCGUAGGUGGCCAACUAAGUCAGACGUGAAAUCCCUCGGCUUAACCGGGGAGCUGCGUCUGAUACUGGAUGGCUUGAGGUUGGGAGAGGGAUGCGGAAUUCCAGGUGUAGCGGUGAAAUGCGUAGAUAUCUGGAGGAACACCGGUGGCGAAGGCGGCAUCCUGGACCAAUUCUGACGCUGAGGAGCGAAAGCCAGGGGAGCAAACGGG